rnacentral:lncRNA from 1 species
GACCCCCCCAAAGCGACCGCUUUCAUCUCGCUCAACGCUCUUAAACUGGUUUUUCCUACGGAUGUAUCUUACUGUAAGAUCAUAUGAUCAUAUGAUUGAUCAUCAGAGACCCUGCUGUGAAAAAAUACAAAAAAAUUAAUCCAGAUUGAGGUUGGUCAACCAGAUGAAACCGGUCCUCCCAGAACCUGAAGAAAUUUGCAAAUAUUCCACUUUUAAUGUUAAAAUUUAUUUGGCGUAAAAAAAAAGAUUCCAACCAGACUCACAUAGCAUGGCAUCACAUUGAUACCUAGCUGGAUCAAUUAAUCUCCGGCAAAAAACUUUCUUCAUAUUUCUUUUUUCAAACUGGAUCACAAGCAGGCCAUGAUGUGAAGAAAAAAAAAUAAAAAAGGAAAGAAAACGAACAGAAAUCAACGAAUGAAACGAAGCACACCAGAAUAAAUGAACGGGACACAUGAUCAAGGGGCAAGGAAACCCAAAAAAAAGAAUAAACCUAUUAAAUUGAAGGAAAAAAUGACGAGAGGCAGAAAAAGUAAGGGAGAAAAACUGAUGUGAAUAAAAUUAAGAGGCAAACGAUUAAACUCCGAACACAGAGAAAACUUAUCAAUGAAAAGUAACUCUAUAAAGAAGCCAGGAAAACCUAAAAAGGGAACGAAAUGCAAAAAUAAUAAAAACGUCUAGAAUAGACAAUAAAAAAAGAUUAGAAAAGUAAAAUAAACUAUAUAAUUUAUACAUGGCCUAUUAGCUCAGUUGGUUAGAGCGUCGUGCUAAUAACGCGAAGGUCGCAGGUUCGAGACCUGCAUGGGCCAGAGCAGUGAAGAGACUGCAUCUGGUGGCAGAUGGGUUCCGCCGCCUGCUCUCCGAUUCCAGGAAGACAUACGAUGCACGUCUGAGCUCCUUUUUCUUCUCAUACGCUUUUUUAAAUCGAUUUAAAUCGAUACUUUGCACGUCCGACAUAGUAUCUGCAUCCAUCUAC